GAUGAACGCUGGCGGCGUGCCUAAUACAUGCAAGUCGAACGAAACUUCUUUAUCACCGAGUGCUUGCACUCACCGAUAAAGAGUUGAGUGGCGAACGGGUGAGUAACACGUGGGCAACCUGCCCAAAAGAGGGGGAUAACACUUGGAAACAGGUGCUAAUACCGCAUAACCAUAGUUACCGCAUGGUAACUAUGUAAAAGGUGGCUAUACUACCGCUUUUGGAUGGGCCCGCGGCGCAUUAGCUAGUUGGUAGGGUAAAGGCUUACCAAGGCAAUGAUGCGUAGCCGAAUUGAGAGGUUGAUCGGCCACAUUGGGACUGAGACACGGCCCAAACUCCUACGGGAGGCAGCAGUAGGGAAUCUUCCACAAUGGGCGAAAGCCUGAUGGAGCAACGCCGCGUGGGCGAAGAAGGUCUUCGGAUCGUAAAACCCUGUUGUUAGAGAAGAAAGUGCGUGAGAGUAACUGUUCACGUUUCGACGGUAUCUAACCAGAAAGCCACGGCUAACUACGUG
rnacentral:rRNA from 1 species